rnacentral:snRNA from 1 species
GGAUGUGAGGGCGAUCUGGCUACGACAUCUGUCACCCCAUUGAUUGCCAGGGUUGAUUCAGCUGAUCUGGCUGGCUAGGCGGGUGUCCCUUUCCUCCCUCACCACUCCAUGUGCAUCCCUCCCGAAGCUGCACGCUUGGUGGAAGAGGACGACCAUCCCAGAUAGAAGGAGUGUACCAAUCUUCAGUCAAGGGUAUACGAUAAAUUAUUUUUAAAAAAACAAAUCCUGCAGCAAUUCACUUAACAACUGUGUGGCAAGGGAAGUCGUAAAAUGGGGCAAACUCACUGAACAAAUGUUUCACAUAGCAACAGAAAUGUU